rnacentral:rRNA from 1 species
AGCAGCCGCGGUAAUUCCAGCUCCAAUAGCGUAUAUUAAAGUUGUUGCAGUUAAAAGCUCGUAGUUGAAUUUCGGGAUUGACACAUCGGUCGUGCCUUAAGGGGUGUGAACUGGUGUAGUCAAUUUCUCACCUUCUGGAGAACCGCGAUGUCCUUAAUUGGGUGCCGCGAGGAACCAGGACCUUUACUUUGAAAAAAUUAGAGUGUUUAAAGCAGGCAUUUUUGCUUGAAUACAUUAGCAUGGAAUAAUAAAAUAGGACGGCAUGAUUCUAUUUUGUUGGUUUCUAGGAUCACCGUAAUGAUUAAUAGGGAUAGUUGGGGCAUUAGUAUUCAAUUGUCAGAGGUGAAAUUCUUGGAUUUAUUGAAGACUAACUACUGCGAAAGCAUUUGCCAAGGAUGUUUUCAUUAAUCAAGAACGAAAGUUAGGGGAUCGAAGACGAUCAGAUACCGUCGUAGUCUUAACCAUAAACUAUGCCGACUAGGAAUCAGACGAUGUAAUUUUUUAAUGACUCGUUUGGCAC